CCUACGGGUGGCAGCAGUGGGGAAUAUUGCGCAAUGGGCGAAAGCCUGACGCAGCGACGCCGCGUGAGGGAUGAAGGCCUUCGGAUCGUAAAGCUCUGUCAGCAGGGAAGAACGGGCACUGUGCUAAUCAGCAGUGAAUUGACGGUACCUGCAAAGGCAGCACCGGCUAACUCCGUGCCAGCAGCCGCGGUAAUACGGAGGGUGCGAGCGUUAAUCGGAAUGACUGGGCGUAAAGCGCUCGUAGGCGGUAUGUCAAGUCAAGGGUGAAAUCCCCGCGCUCAACGUGGGAACUGCCGUUGAAACUGGCAUACUGGAGUGUGUGAGAGGAUAGUGGAAUUCCAGGUGUAGCGGUGAAAUGCGUAGAUAUCAGGAGGAACACCGGUGGCGAAGGCGACUAUCUGGCACAUAACUGACGCUGAGGAGCGAAAGCGUGGGUAGCAAACAGGAUUAGAUACCCGGGUAGUC
rnacentral:rRNA from 1 species